rnacentral:SRP_RNA from 1 species
CGCAGGGUCUCGCGCAAUGGCUGCCCGCGAACCGUGUCAGGUCGGGAACGAAGCAGCACUAAGCGGUGUCACCAUGUGAUGCGAACAAGCCUUGCGGCA